UGAGGCUGUUACCGACCACUCGCCUUCCUCCGGUCGUUGACGGUGUAUAGUGGCGGGCAGGGGUAUUUUUGUCAUUUGCUGACACCUUAGAAGGCCAUAUGACCUGUGGUCUGCUUGCCAACCACCGCUCCUGGUUGGAGCACGAUGGCAACGGUUUUGUGUGUCAAUAUCAUUCAAGUGUUUUACCUCUUUGUGGUUAAUUUUCUUAUGGGUUUUGGUUUCUUGGCUGUGAUCUAGAUGUGAGCCUACUUAAUUGAUGUGUUUUUAGCAGUUUUGUGAUCUAAUUACGGUAUUUUGCUACAGUUUUGUUGGUUGGCUGUGGCAAUCGAUGGUUUUGUCACGCAGCUAUGAUGAUCUCAAAAGUCUUUUACCAAUUGAUUUUGGCAUGGCAAUGAUGGCGGAUGGUAGGGUUUGACCUGCAACCCACCUUGCAGCCAUGAUUUCUGGUAGAUCUGAGCCACAUCGUUUUGUUGUACUUUUCGAGUCUUCUUUCUUGAAGCCAUCUUCAUCACUGUGGUAAAACCCUAACCGCCGUCACCAUCGGUUUCUGCUGAUAACACCUGAAACGGCAAACCCUGGCCACCACUUGUGGUGCGACUGUUGACUAUCGUUGUGGUGACUGAAACCCCAUUCGUCUGCAUGUGUGCUUUUUCAAUAAUUGAGGUAAAACCCAUCUACCCUACCACUGAUCUCAUCUUCUCUCACAACAUCUAUGCCUCUGUUUCUGCUCUGGAGAUGUCUGGUGGCCUAAUAGGAGAUGAACAGUUGUAUUGUCUGCUAAAAUAGAAAAAGGUUGAUUUAAGGUUUUGGAGCUGGCUGGAAAUGCAGCAAGAGACAACAAGAAAACAAAAUCAUUCCGAGACGUGUUUUUAUGGCUUCCAGCUUCUAUCUUUUUACUUGAUGAAUAAGAGAGACAACAAAGAGAAAGGCAGACCUUAAUGAGGGACUCAGACGACAUAAAAAAUGUUAGGACGAAGCUUUCCCUGGUGGUAUCGGUUGGAGUGUACAGGCAGUGGUGGUGCAGAUGCAGCUCCGAUGAAUUGUGGUGUUGAAACAAGGUCAAAACAAAACAAACAGAAGGCGAUAAUGGUGACAGAGUGACAAAGUUUUGGAAUCACAGCCGUGAACUUAGCUGGCUUGGGUUUUUAUCGGAAAUCCGGUGACCCCUUCGAGCUGUGUGUUUCAUUUCAAAGCUAGGAACUACGAGAUACAUGUAAAUCCAAUUACCUAUCUCACGCCACCUCUGGUACAACUUCAAGGUAACGGUCUGACGAUCUAAGAGAGUAGGAAUGAGGCUAUAUCUGAUUAUUAAUUACGAAAUUGGUGGCUCAACUUCUGACUCGCUAGGCAUUUAGCUGAUUCACUGACUCAGCUCGGAAUUGCUUCCAAACAUUACAAAUGGGAGUAGAAACAUAAGACAUAAAAAAGCGAUGGUCUUUAGUAGAUAAACAUAUUUACGGAUGUGAAACUGAAUGAAAUGGUGGAGUGGGCUUUGUAACUUAAAACUUCUGAGUAUAGUGUAAUGUUUCUUUGUUGUAAUCAUCUUCUCCAUUCCAUUGUUGAAGCUUUGUUUUCUCAAGUAAACGUUAAUGCUAUUGGU
rnacentral:lncRNA from 1 species